rnacentral:rRNA from 1 species
AACGAACGCUGGCGGCAGGCCUAACACAUGCAAGUCGAGCGGGCGUAGCAAUACGUCAGCGGCGGACGGGUGAGUAACACGUGGGAAUAUGCCUUUCGGUUUGGAACAACUCGGGGAAACCCGUGCUAAUUCCGGAUACGCCCUUAGGGGGAAGGAUUUAUCGCCGAAAGAUUAGCCCGCGUCCGAUUAGCUAGUUGGUGAGGUAACGGCCCACCAAGGCGACGAUCGGUAGCUGGUUUGAGAGAACGACCAGCCACACUGGGACUGAGACACGGCCCAGACUCCUACGGGAGGCAGCAGUGGGGAAUCUUGGACAAUGGAGGAAACUCUGAUCCAGCCAUGCCGCGUGAGUGAUGAAGGCCUU